rnacentral:lncRNA from 1 species
UUUUGGGGUAAGUUUUGGAUAUCUUUUUGUAAAUUUUUGGUAAUUUUUUCUACUGUGAACUGUCUAUAUAUUCUUAUUUUUCUAUUAAAAUUGUCUUUCAAAAAUAUAAUCUGGCUAUCAUUUUAAUACUUUGGAUUUUAUGUCACUUUCAAAAACAUUGUCCCAGUUUGUUGCCAGUUAAAUUCUUUUUAAAUGGUAUUUUAUAUUGUAUAUGGUGUUUAAUAUUGUUCAAUAUAGAAAUGGAAACUUUUGAUAAAUUGUAUUACUGGUUUCCAAACUACCCUGUGGAAGCAAAAGUAUAGAUUCUAUAGACUAAAGUUUUCUAGAUAAAAAAAUUUUGAUGUUCAU